AUACGGAGGAUGCAAGCGUUAUCCGGAUUUAUUGGGUUUAAAGGGUGCGUAGGCGGUUUGCUAAGCGGGAGGUGAAAUGCCGCGGCUCAACGUCGGAAGUGCUUCCCGAACUGGGGGACUUGAAUGCCUCUGCCGUGGGAGGAAGGGGUAGUGUAGCGGUGAAAUGCUUAGAGAUUACACAGAACACCUAUUGCGAAGGCAUCACACGAAGCGGUGAUUGACCCUGAGGCACGAAAGCGUGAGGAUCAAACAGGAUUAGAUACCCUGGUAGUCCUCGCCGUAAACGAUGAUGGCUAACCGCUGGGAUCAGCAGGUCAGUGCCCAAGCGAAAACGAUAAGCCAUCCCCCUGGGGAGUACGGCCGCAAGAAUGAAACUCAAAGGAAUUGGCGGGG
rnacentral:rRNA from 1 species